AAUCAACGCUGGCGGCGUGCCUAACACAUGCAAGUCGAACGCGAAAAUUCCUUCGGGGAUGAGUAGAGUGGCGUCCGGGUGAGUAACGCGUGGGUAAUCUGCCUUCGGGUGGGGAAGUAACCCACGGGAAACGUUAGGGCUAAUAACCGCAUAAUGCAGCGGCUCGACAUCGAGACAGUUGUUAAAGCAGCAAUGCGCCUGAAGAGGAGCCUGCGUCUGAUUAGCUAGGGUUAAGGUAAUGGCUUACCAAGGCUACGAUCAGUAGCUGGUCUGA
rnacentral:rRNA from 1 species